rnacentral:SRP_RNA from 1 species
CCGUGCUAGGCGGGGAGCUAGCGGUGCCCUGUAACCUGCAAUCCGCUCCAGCGGGGCUUAAUUCCCCCUUUGAGAGGUCGACUUCGUGGUUUCGGCGAGACCGCCGGUUCCCGUUGUUCCAGCCCUGUGCAAUGAACCACCGACAACCCCGUCAGGCCCGGAAGGGAGCAGCGGUCCCCGGUCGGGCUCAUGUGCCGCAGGUCUCCUGGAGCGGCGGCGGCGAUCUUCUGUCGUGCCAUGGGUUGACCACAAGAAGGGGGUGCACGG